GCGCGGAACACAAAUAUCGUCCGCGAAAAUUAAGCAUUGAAUUACUGUACAAAUCUCGGGUUGUUAGGUGUUAGAAUCCCUAGUUACCCGAAAAAUUUGAUUGGAUCCGAUACUUAGAAAUAACCAAUCAGAUACUUUGUAACAAAUGCAACACAAUCAGUGCGUUCAGUAAGUAUAACGUUUCAAGAUGGCGGACCGAAUUGCAUGGUUAUUGUUUCUACUCGAUGGAUUCGCAGAUAAUUCGGAAAUAGAUCAGAUUGGGAUCAAUAACAUUAUUGCAUACGAUCAUUUACAUGUAUUACCUGGUGUGUGUUGCCAGUAAUGGUUCAAGAUAUGCCAAACAAAUUGUGCCUCUCUAUACAGACAGAUUUCAAGUCUCAAUUUCAACUUCAAAGGUCAACAUAUCACUGAUAUCAGGAAUUCUGUGAAACUGUGGCACCAUGUAUGGUACGUGAGCGCACAAUGUCUGUUGGAAAAAGGAUAUUGGAAUAAGCAAAGGGACUCAACAUUACACAGUCAUUUCAACAUGUAGAGUCUUGUCAGCAAUGAUGGAGCAGUACAUCAGAUUUCCAGAAUCUCGUCAUGAGCUGAUGAUCAUUGCCUAUGGAUUUCAUGAAUGAUGUAGAAUGAUUGGACUGUUGAUGGAACCCACAGUGCAUGUCCUGCCUCAACAUCUGAGCAUAGGUCCUUGUUUAUCAGCAGUUUAGUUCUUCAAGCAGUCUGUGACAGUAACUUGAAAUGUUUGGACAUAUGCCCUGGAUGGCCAAGUUCUGUGCAUGAUGCCCAUUUAAAUAGGAACGGCCCGGUGGCGCAUUAAAUGGACAAUUUUUCGAAUGUUCUCGUGGAUUCAGCUUACCGCCUGACAAGAAAUCUUGCUUUUUGUUCCGUAUCGAGGCCAUGGACAUUUGUAUCAUUUGCAAAAGAUACUGCGAUAUUUGUGCCUUUGUUCAUGCUUUAUAGUUGAUUAACAAUUGGAAGCCAUAACCUGUUUUAUAGGAUGGUGUUAGUGGGACAAUGAAUUUUGUAAAGAUUUAAAGAAUGGAAAAGAUAAUUAAUAGUCAAAAGAGUUCUGCUAUUGUUAAGCAUGCUUUAUUGAUUUGUAAUGUUAUAAAGAUAGCAUUAUUAACAGAAUAAAAUGUCCAUAAUUUGAA